CCUACGGGAGGCAGCAGUGGGGAAUAUUGCACAAUGGGGGAAACCCUGAUGCAGCGACGCCGCGUGAGUGAAGAAGUAAUUCGUUAUGUUAAGCCCUUUCAGCAGGGAAGUAAAUGACGGUACCUGAGUAAGAAGCCCCGGCUAACUACGUGACAGCAGCCGCGGUAAUACGUAGGGGGCAAGCGUUAUCCGGAUUUACUGGGUGUAAAGGGAGCGUAGACGGCAGUGCAAGUCUGGGGUGAAAGUCGGGGGCUCAACCUCCGAACUGCUGUGGAAACUGUACGGCUGGAGUGCAGGAGAGGUAAGUGGAAUGCGUGGUGUAGCGGUGAAAUGCGUAGAUAUUAGGAGGAACACCAGUGGCGAAGGCGGCUUACUGGACUGUAACUGACGCUGAGGCUCGAAAGCGUGGGGAGCAAACAGGAUUAGAUACCCCUGUAGUC
rnacentral:rRNA from 1 species